CCUCCCUUCCUCUUUCAGAGUCAGAGUCUGUUAUGAGCAGAACUACCAACAUCAAUUCUACAAACAAGCAGUCGUUGAAGGAGACAUCUUUCUUUCAUAUGUUAUCCUUCUUAAACUGUGUUUCAGUGGAAAGUCUGGAGACUGCACAAGGAGCCCGAGACAGCUGAUUGAAGCUUCAAAUUAGGUGAAGGGCAUCAUAUGACAAACACUAGAAAAUGGCUUAAGAUGCAGAAUCUCCAAAUUCAAACCAUGUUGUGAAGCCAACAGCUUUGCU
rnacentral:lncRNA from 1 species